rfam:Nematostella vectensis strain CH2 x CH6 NEMVEscaffold_39_Cont6455, whole genome shotgun sequence.
GCCCCUGUGGCGCAAUGGACUAGCGUGUUUGACUUCUAAUUCAAAGGUUGUGGGUUCGAGUACCAACAGGGGUG